rnacentral:tRNA from 1 species
UAGGAAAAAUGAAAAUAAUAGAAGCUGCUAACUAUCUAUAAAAGCGGUUAAAUUCCGUUAUUUCCUUA